UGUAAGAGUUGCUACUUGUCC
rnacentral:siRNA from 1 species